GACGAACGCUGGCGGCGUGCUUAACACAUGCAAGUCGAACGAAGUGGCGAACGGGUGAGUAACGCGUAGUCAACCUCCCCUUCAGAGGGGGACAACAGUUGGAAACGACUGCUAAUACCGCUUACUGAUGGAGGGGAGUGCGUCGGUUUAGGUAGUUGGUGGGGUAACGGCCCACCAAGGCGAUGAUGAGUCGCCGGGCUGGAGGGAUGAACGGCCACAUUGGGACUGGGGAACGGGCCCAAAUCCUACGGGGGGGAGCAGUGGGGGAAUUUCCGCAAAGGGGGAAAGGCCGACGGAGGAAAGCCGCGGGGGGGAUGACGGGCUUCGGGUUGGAAAGGUCUGUUAAUCGGGACGCGGUACCGGAAUAGAAAGCCACGGCUAACUACGUGCCAGCCGCCGCGGUAAUAC
rnacentral:rRNA from 1 species